UACGUAGGGUGCGAGCGUUGUCCGGAAUUAUUGGGCGUAAAGAGCUCGUAGGCGGUCUGUCGCGUCGAUCGUAAAAACUUGGGGCUUAACCCUGAGCUUGCGGUCGAUACGGGCAUGACUGGAGUUCGGCAGGGGAGACUGGAAUUCCUGGUGUAGCGGUGAAAUGCGCAGAUAUCAGGAGGAACACCGGUGGCGAAGGCGGGUCUCUGGGACGAUACUGACGCUGAGGAGCGAAAGCGUGGGGAGCGAACAGG
rnacentral:rRNA from 1 species